rnacentral:rRNA from 1 species
GAUGAACGCUAGCGACAGGCUUAACACAUGCAAGUCGAGGGGCAGCAUAGAAGUAGCAAUACUUUGGUGGCGACCGGCGCACGGGUGAGUAACGCGUAUGCAACCUACCUAUCAGAGGGGAAUAACCCGGCGAAAGUCGGACUAAUACCGCAUAAAACAGGGGCACCGCAUGGUGAUAUUUGUUAAAGAAAUUCGCUGAUAGAUGGGCAUGCGUUCCAUUAGGUAGUUGGUGAGGUAACGGCUCACCAAGCCGACGAUGGAUAGGGGAACUGAGAGGUUGGUCCCCCACACUGGUAAUGAGACACGGACCAGACUCCUACGGGAGGCAGCAGUGAGGAAUAUUGGUCAAUGGGCGAGAGCCUGAACCAGCCAAGUCGCGUGAAGGAAGAAGGAUCUAUGGUUCGUAAACUUCUUUUGCAGGGGAAUAAAGUGCAGGACGUGUCCUGUUUUGUAUGUACCCUGAGAAUAAGGAUCGGCUAACUCCGUGCCAGCCGCCGCCGUAAUAC